rnacentral:misc_RNA from 1 species
GCAAGGCCAGCGACAUGCGAGGAUGGCAAGUUGCAACUUCUUCCAACCAGAAGCCUGUUGUAGAUAAUUCUCUUGUUCAAUUAUCUGACAGUAGCAUGUUGAGAGAACCUGCCACAAGUUCCAAUGAUAUAGAGAGAUUUGCUGUUACUCCACCGACUAAAGAGACCUUUGUAGAUUUUUUAAAUAGGACUUCCUCUGAGCUAAGUUUUUCAGAUGGCUCCCAAGGAAAAUUCUAUGAGAGA